rnacentral:rRNA from 1 species
CCUACGGGAGGCUGCAGUAGGGAAUCUUCCACAAUGGGCGAAAGCCUGAUGGAGCAACGCCGCGUGGGUGAAGAAGGUCUUCGGAACGUAAAACCCUGUUGUUAGAGAAGAAAGUGCGUGAGAGUAACUGUUCACGUCUCGACGGGAUCUAACCAGAAAGCCACGGCUAACGACGUGCCAGCAGCUGCGGUGAUACGUAGGUGGCAAGCGUUAUCCGGUUUUAUUGGGCGUAAAGGGAACGCAGGCGGUCUUUUAAGUCUGAUGUGAAAGCCCUCGGCUUAACCGGAGUAGUGCAUUGGAAACUGGGAGACUGGAGUGCAGAAGAGGAAAGUGGAACUCCAUGUGUAGCGGUGAAAUGCGUAGAUAUAUGGAAGAACACCAGUGGCGAAGGCGGCUCACUGGUCUGUAACUGACGCUGAGGUUCGAAAGCGUGGGUAGCAAACAGGAUUAGAUACCCGGGUAGUC